rnacentral:rRNA from 1 species
UACGGAGGGUGCAAGCGUUGUUCGGAAUUACUGGGCGUAAAGGGCGCGUAGGUGGUUGUGUAAGUCAGAUGUGAAAUCCCGAGGCUCAACUUCGGAACUGCAUCUGAUACUGCAUGACUCGAGUGCAGCAGAGGGAAACGGAAUUCCUGGUGUAGAGGUGAAAUUCGUAGAUAUCAGGAGGAACACCGGUGGCGAAGGCGGUUUCCUGGGCUGACACUGACACUGAGGCGCGAAAGCGUGGGUAG